UCUAGACAGGCAGCCUUGCCAGCCACACACACACAGGUUACAGUCUGAGAGUCCUGUGUAUUCUAGCAGCACACUCACCAGUCAGCUACCCAGCCUUGCCCUGGGCCGGGCACUGCUGCAAGAAUGAGAGAUUGGAAGAUGGGAAGAGCUGUGCUCCUGGUUUUGAAAUACUCAGGCUGAAUGCUGAAGCAAACUGUUUGCAUUGAUAGACGACACAAAUGUAGGGAGAAGUCUGUUGGCCUUUAGAAAAGGGUGGAGCUCUGAUCCCAGGAGACACAGGAUAUCUUCCUGGUGAAGGGAGUAUGUAGGGAAUUUCAACCUAAUACAUGGGUGUAGUGUUAUAUAGAGAGUGAUAGUGUAGGUGCAUUAUCUUAUGAAAUAGCAUAUCCAUUGCUUUCUUGUGCUUCUGCCUCUUCUGCCUCUUGACACACGCACACACACAUGCACACACAUGCAUACAUGUACACAAUAUACACAUGUGCACAUAUACAUGUACUUGCACACACACAUACACACAUGUGCACACCAUACACACAUACACACACAUACAUACACACAUGUGUACACACAUAUACAAGUGUGUGUACACACCCAGAUAUAUACACACAAGUGUAUGCAUAUAUAUACAUACAGACAUGUAUAUACACAUAUACACCUUCACACACAUGUGCAUACAUACACACACACAAACACACACACACACACAUACACACACACACACACACACCACAACUCUUCUUUCUCUCUUGGGGAAAGAUGAAUUUAUUUUGUAGCUUUGUAGAAAAUCCUAGUCUCCACUUCUUUACUGCCUGUCUUCCAAUGUUCUUUCUUUAAGGUCAUUCAGCUUUUAUUAUUGUUGAGCCUUCUCCUUCCAGUUCCUUCCUUUUGUGAGCUAUUUAUAAAGCAAGUGAAGAUACAGAAAAUGUCAACAGAAUAUCUAAGUGUUGUUGCUGUCUCCUGUAAAACCACCACUGAUUAGCCCUCAUCGGUCAGAUGACUCUCAACCCCAGAGACCCUAGAAGGCCAGAACUCAGGGAAGAGGGAUACUUGGUGUGUUUUUUGACAACCUAGUUGUAUUCUGCAGGAAUACAACUUCAGAUCAGAGCUAUAACCUCCAGCCAGGCCCCUGCUGUCCUGAAGGUAUCCACAGACCCUCCAUCUGACUUCCCUUGGAGAGUAUCACAGCUGUCACUUGGGAAUAUGAGCGAGCUGUGUCACCCCAGGAUUUGGGUGCAGAAGUGUAUGUGUUUAUCUGUUCUGUCUAGCCCUGUGUGGUGAUACACAUCUAUAACGUAAGAAUGGGAGGCAGGAUGAUUAAAGUUCAAGGCCAGUCUUGGUUACAUAGCAAGACCUUGUCUCAAAAGAACAAAAUAAAAAAAAAGAAAACUAAUAAAAGAGAAGCAGACAGACAGAAAGAAGAGAAUGCUUGUAUCUGACAGUGGCUGUCACCCACGAGUCUCAGAUUCAUCCCCUUAUUCUCAGACAUUUUGAGGACCCACUGGGGCCCACGUCUGUAUACUACCCAAGAGGCUACUAAAAUCUUACGUAUUUGAAGUUACACAUUUUCUGUCUUUUUAAAAUAAUUGUUUUUUUUUUUUUGCUUUAUGUGUAUAAAUAUUUUGUCUGCUUGU
rnacentral:lncRNA from 1 species